GGGUCCGGACACACUGAGGAUUGACAGGCAAUAUUAAUACGUGUUUCGGCGCGUAUUAUGUUAAAUAUGCUAGUCCUUUCAUGAUUAUGUGAUAGGUGGUGCAUGGCCGUUCUUAGUUCGUGGAGUGAUCUGUCUGCUUAAUUGCGUUUCACUAAGAAUCUAUCAAUACGUGCGUUGCGGCACUUUGACCCCUCUCUGAGCGCGCGUCUUAGUUGCUUAGCUCGCACAAUUAGGUUCUGAAAGCAACGAACGUGACCGCAACCUCUUGUUGCCUUUAUACCAAACAUUUUUGCUGUUCUCAGCAUUAAUGCAAAAAGGCUUUUUAAACUAGAGGGACCGCUGUUACUUUCUUAAACCAGAGGAAGGUUGCGGCAAUAACAGGUCUGUGAUGCCCUUAGAUGUUCCGGGCUGCACACGUGCUACAAUGAUUGUUGCAGUGAGCAUCUCAUUUUUACACACCGCAUGCGCGAGUCCAUUUAUUCACUUCGGUGCUUUAAAUGUGUAUUUCUGCGCGCGGUAAAGCCUGCUUCGAGAGUAAGUGGGU
rnacentral:rRNA from 1 species